rnacentral:rRNA from 1 species
UACGUAGGGGGCAAGCGUUGUUCGGAAUUACUGGGCGUAAAGGGCGCGUAGGCGGCACGGCAAGCCAGGAGUGAAAGCCCUGGGCUCAACCCGGGAACUGCUUUUGAAACUGCCGAGCUAGAGUGCGGAAGGGGCAACUGGAAUUCCCAGUGUAGCGGUGAAAUGCGUAGAUAUUGGGAAGAACACCUGAGGCGAAGGCGGGUUGCUGGGCCGACACUGACGCUGAGGCGCGAAAGCCAGGGGAGCGAACGGG